rnacentral:rRNA from 1 species
GUGGAUUAGAUACCCUGGUAGUCCACGCCGUAAACGAUGGGUGCUAGGUGUGGGCGGUGUCGACUCCGUCCGUGCCGAAGCUAACGCAUUAAGCACCCCGCCUGGGGAGUACGGCCGCAAGGCUAAAACUCAAAGGAAUUGACGGGGGCCCGCACAAGCAGCGGAGCAUGUGGUUUAAUUCGACGCGACGCGAAGAACCUUACCAAGGCUUGACAUGACCAGGAAUGUCGUAGAAAUACGGCAGCCCUUCGGGGCCUGGCCACAGGUGGUGCAUGGUUGUCGACAGCU